GAGGCAACUCUGACCCAGCAACGCCGCGUGAACGAAGAAGGCCUUCGGGUUGUAAAGUUCUUUAAUUGGGGACGAUGAAAGUGACGGUACCCAAAGAAUAAGCCAUGGCUAACUACGUGCCAGCAGCCGCGGUAAUACGUAGGUGGCAAGCGUUGUCCGGAAUGACUGGGCGUAAAGGGAGCGUAGGCGGCGCGACAAGUUAGGAGUGAAAUCCCGAGGCUUAACCUCGGAACUGCUUUUAAAACUGUCGUGCUUGAGUGAUGGAGAGGAAAGCGGAAUACCUAGUGUAGCGGUGGAAUGCGUAGAUAUUAGGAGGAACACCAGAGGCGAAGGCGGCUUUCUGGACAUUAACUGACGCUGAGACUCGAAAGCGUGGGGAGCAAACAGGAUUAGAUACCCUGGUAGUCCACGCUGUAAACGAUGGAUACUAGAUGCGGGAGGUAUCGACUCCUUCCGUGUCGUCGCGAACGCAAUAAGUAUCCCGCCUGGGGAGUACGGCCGCAAGGUGAAACUCAAAGGAAUUGACGGGGACCCGCACAAGCAGCGGAGCAUGUGGUUUAAUUCGACGCAACGCGAAAAACCUUACCAAGACUUGACAUCGUAUGACCGGUACAGAGAUGUACUUUUCUCUUCGGAGACAUACAGACAGGUGGUGCAUGGUUGUCGUCAGCUCGUGUCGUGAGAUGUUGGGUUAAGUCCCGCAACGAGCGCAACCCUUAUGAAUAGUUGCCAAUAUUAAGUUAGGAACUCUAUUCAGACUGCCGUGGACAACACGGAGGAAGGUGGGGAUGACGUCAAAUCAUCAUGCCCCUUACGUCUUGGGCUACACACGUGCUACAAUGGCUACUACAAAGAGCGGCGAGCCCGCGAGGGGGAGCGAAUCUCAAAAAAGUAGUCUCAGUUCGGACUGUGGGCUGCAACCCGCCCACACGAAGUCGGAGUUGCUAGUAAUCCCGAAUCAGCAUGUCGGGGUGAAUGCGUUCGCCGGGUCUUGCACACACCGCCCGUCA
rnacentral:rRNA from 1 species